rnacentral:tRNA from 1 species
GGGCAUGUGGUGUAGGGGUUAUCACGUUCGCUUUGCAUGCAGACAGGAGCAGCAGGAUCAAUGCGAAAGGUCUCCGGUUCAAAUCCGGAUUUGUCCA